rnacentral:rRNA from 1 species
GACGAACGCUGGCGGCGUGCUUAACACAUGCAAGUCGAACGGAAAGGCCCUGCUUGCGUGGCGUGCUCGAGUGGCGAACGGGUGAGUAACACGUGAGUAUCCUGCCUUUGACUUAGGGAGAACUUCCCGAAACUGGGGCUAAUACCUGAUAGGUGCUCCUGCUGCGUGGUGGGCGUUGGAGGGUUUGGGCGGCCGGGGAUGGACUGGCGGCUGAUCAGUUUGUUGGUGGGGUAGGGGAUUACCAAGGCUUGGACGGGUAGCUGGCCGGAGAGGGGGACCGGCAAACGUGCGACUGAGAUACGGGCCAGAGCACUACGGGAGGCUGCAGAGUGGACUUUUGCACAAUGGGCCGAAGCCUGGUGAGGCAACGCCGCGUGCGGGAUGACGGCCUUCGGGAUGUGAACCGCUUUGCCCUGUAACGAAGCGCGAGUGACGGUACCGGGUAAAGAAGCACCGGCUAACUCCGUG